rnacentral:rRNA from 1 species
GACGAACGCUGGCGGCGUGCUUAACACAUGCAAGUCGAGCGGUAAGGCCCUUUCGGGGGUACACGAGCGGCGAACGGGUGAGUAACACGUGGGUGACCUGCCCUCAGCUCUGGGAUAAGCCUGGGAAACUGGGUCUAAUACUGGAUAUGACUCCACGGUGCAUGUCGUGGGGUGGAAAGCCUUGCGCGGCUGAGGAUGGGCCCGCGGCCUAUCAGCUUGUUGGUGGGGUGANGGCCUACCAAGGCGACGACGGGUAGCCGGCCUGAGAGGGCGACCGGCCACACUGGGACUGAGACACGGCCCAGACUCCUACGGGAGGCAGCAGUGGGGAAUCUUGCGCAAUGGGCGAAAGCCUGACGCAGCGACGCCGCGUGAGGGAUGACGGCCU